rnacentral:lncRNA from 1 species
AAUAAUAUGUAUUGCAUCAUCCCAUUUUGCUUGCAAAAAUGCUAUAUUUUUUAAUACUUACUUCAACAAUGUAAUUCUAUUUUAUUUAAAAAUACAUUAAAAUGUAGACAUAUAAAGAAUUCUGAAGAUGCACUCUAAAUUAUUGGUAGUGGUUACUUUUGGAAAGCAUGAUUGGAUGUAGGGAGUGAGGCACUACUCAUUUUAUUUUAGUCCUGCACAGAUAUAAUUUGUUAUGACUUUUGUUUCUUCUGUAAUUAAAUCAAAGAGAUAGAGGUUCAGAAGAAUACUAGCCCAACAUGGUUCAAAAACUAGCCUGGACCCAGGAUUAACUACACAAUUUGCAGGAACCAGUGAAAUUUGCCAAAUGAAAAUGGGGGGAGGCGGCCCUUGUUAACAAAUUAUCAAGAACUUCAAGAUAGUGACAGCAUAAUAUCAAAACACACAGGGCCUUUCUAAAUGCUGGGCUCCAAGAAGCCAGACUUGCCCAGG